GAUGAACGCUGGCGGCGUGCCUAAUACAUGCAAGUCGAGCGAACAGAUAAGGAGCUUGCUCCUUUGACGUUAGCGGCGGACGGGUGAGUAACACGUGGGUAACCUACCUAUAAGACUGGGAUAACUUCGGGAAACCGGAGCUAAUACCGGAUAAUAUUUUGAACCGCAUGGUUCGAUAGUGAAAGAUGGUUUUGCUAUCACUUAUAGAUGGACCCGCGCCGUAUUAGCUAGUUGGUAAGGUAACGGCUUACCAAGGCGACGAUACGUAGCCGACCUGAGAGGGUGAUCGGCCACACUGGAACUGAGACACGGUCCAGACUCCUACGGGAGGCAGCAGUAGGGAAUCUUCCGCAAUGGGCGAAAGCCUGACGGAGCAACGCCGCGUGAGUGAUGAAGGUCUUCGGAUCGUAAAACUCUGUUAUUAGGGAAGAACAUACGUGUAAGUAACUGUGCACGUCUUGACGGUACCUAAUCAGAAAGCCACGGCUAACUACGUG
rnacentral:rRNA from 1 species